UCUGUGUCCUGUAAUCCCUUUCCUGGCUGGGAGGAGCUCAGACUAUUUAGUUACCAGGGCACAGAGGGCUGGCUGCAGGGUGUGUGUCUCCCAAAGGGCAGCCCUAGACUGGAGAGAGAACAGCCAAAAAUACUCUGCUGCUUUGGGCACUGCCUUACAAGGCUGGAGCGCAGUUUGUUAAGCAGAAAACACAUCAAAAUGAGAGACUGUGUUUUGUGCACUGGGAUAAAGGAGCACAGCUGCUCUGCCCCAGUGGGUGCUGGAACAAACCUGCUUCCUUCCCAGUUCCUCCCCAGCUCUGCAGGAUCAAAGCCCUCCUCAUGCUGAUGCUACUCAGACUUUGUCCUACAGAUCAGCUGUGUGCUUUGGUAAGGGACAUGCUACACACAGGAGAUUAAGGACAAGUUGUUGCCCCUGGAUGUGACACAGAGGGGCUUCUGGUCCACAUUUGGCAUCGCAUGGAUGGGCAAACAGAUACUCCCUGCACCCCAUGUGCAUGUAGCAGUGUCCAGCUUCUGAGGUGCCAGGAGUGAGUAGAUCUCAGGACCACCCCCUUGCAGAGCUGCCUCAGGAAGAUGGGACAGCCAGGGGUGGUGGGAAACACCUGCAGGAAGCACGUCCACCAGCCCCAUGCGAGCUCUCCCAGAAAUGUCUGUAUCUCCAUGUAUUUCCAGCAGGUGGGAAGAUAUGAACCAACACCGCAUGCUUUCUACUCAACACUUUGCUUAGGGCAUCCUUUAUUUUGACUCUCUUUCUCUUCUGGCCCUUCCUUUUCUUCCCAGCUGCGUGAACAUGAUCUCCCACAGCCCCAAAUUGAUGUUCCCAGAGAUGGGCUCAGCACCAGCACCCAAAAUCAGCAAGAGAACGGUGCUGAGAAAAGUGAGUUCAGGGAGUAGGCUGUUCCCUCCAUAUAUUGCUCAGGGUGUUUGCUGCUCUGAGUUUGGAUGCUCAGAGCCUUCUCCGGAGGGAAAGCUAUUGAUGGAGGCAUGGCGGAUGGAAGGAGCGUUGCCCAAACCUCCUUUUGGAGACUGCUUUGGAGAAACCGUGCAUGCAGCAAAGUGGAUGCAGAGUUGUUUUCAGGCAAGUCCAGCAGAGUGCUGUGUGCACGGGCAGGCAUGCAUCAAGGCGGUGAGGGCCACAUGUUGUGUCUGUACGUGUGAGCACGUACAGGAGAGGGACGCCCGCACCUUGCACCGGGGCGCAGAGGAGGCUGGCUGCACGUGACGGUAUCCAUGCCUUGCACGCCAGCCACGUUGAUCUCAUGUGCUGAGCUUCUUGCAGGCACCCAAAGGAGUCAUCGAGCGUGCUCUGAUCGCUGCGCGCUGCCAAAAUCCUCUGGAAUCUGCUCCCCUGCGUCGCCCCUUCCCAGGUCAGCGGCGGGGGCUGCGGCAGCAGGUGCUGAAACCCGUCCCUCCCCGCGACCUGCCUCGCUUGCUUUUCCAGCACAUUUUCCGGAGGUCAGCCGUCCCCUCCCUGCCGCUGGAUUGCUUUCCUGCCCUUCCCACCUGCUCCUUCCACCCCGCAGAUUGUUUGGAGAGCGGCUUUCACGGGGGUAGUGUUGGGGGAACAUGAGUCGAAGGAGAAAUCAAUCCUGUCCUUGCUAGGGCUGAGAUCUUGGAAAUGCUGUUCUCCCAUCCAGUGGCUCUCGAAGAAUCGGGGCUGAGUGUGGCACUGCUAUUUCUGGUCGCUGGCAGCUAUUCCUGGCCCUGACCUGAAGCUCAGUCCUUUCCCACUCUGUGCCCAUGCACGAGGGCUGAGCGUGGUGUGCAGGGCAGACAGAGAAGGCUCUAAAUAUCAGCAGCCGUGGGCAGCUGCUGGGAGAGGCACUGAGCAGAAAGCAUCCUGGCUCCGUGGCAAGCAGCAUACCCUGCCCCAUCCCCUUUCCAGGGUUAGCAGGAUGUUGCAGGGCCAGUGCUCUGCUUAUUCCAUAGGACUUUGUGAGGGGAGGGGUGCAUCUGAGCUGUCCAUCCACCCUGCACUUGCAGGGUUCGGUUGCUCACACACCUCCUGUGCACAAGAAAUACUUGCACUCGAGACAAAUGUAGCAGCCUGCAGGUCAAUGGCUCGGCUCUCCCCAAAGGAAAGGAAGCUAAGGAAGAGUGAUCACAACCGACUUCACCAUUUUUCUACGUAUUGCCCAAAUUGAGAUAUAUGACAAGGUCAGUGGGAUGCAGAGCACAGAGGGGCACAUCUCCAUCGCCACCGAUUCCCUCAAGGUCAAGGUUGCCUCCAUAGCCUGUCCUAAAGGAGAUGCCCUAGUUUAUUUUGGAUCCCUUGCCUUGCUGGCCAUUGAGGCAGCUUUGGCAGACCAUCAGGACCAUAGGGACACCUGGAAGCCUGAUGAUUUUUUGGCCUUUUGGACAAGAAGAAGCAGCCUAGAGGAAGCUGGACUUUCUUUCCCAUUCAAGCCAAUGGUGCGGUGUCAGAGGAUCUGCUUUCCCCACCACGGGUGGCUGUCAGUAUAAGGCUCUAUCUUGUUUUUCUCCUCCAUUAAGUUUAUUUCUGCAUAAAAACAGUGUAUUCUACUGCCAUUGGCUUGGAGCAGUGUCUUAAAUUUCCCCACCCACAUCAGGGUAAGUACCCACCGCUGCUCUGUCUUCACAAAUUCUCCUCCUGCCCCUGCGCUGUUCACCCUAAAAUGCUUCACUCUGAGAGAGUCUGCAGGAUUUCUUUUCCCUCCUCCCAUACAAAAUCACGCAGUCAA